GCCCGAGUGGCGGAAUUGGUAGACGCAGGGGAUUCAAAAUCCCCCGCCAGCAAUGGCUUGUCGGUUCGAGUCCGACCUCGGGUACCA
rnacentral:tRNA from 1 species